rnacentral:rRNA from 1 species
CUCAGGAUGAACGCUAGCGGCAGGCUUAACACAUGCAAGUCGAGGGGUAACGGGGUGCUUGCACCGCCGACGACCGGCGCACGGGUGCGUAACGCGUAUACAAUCUACCUUGUAGAGGGGAAUAGCCCAGAGAAAUUUGGAUUAAUGCCCCAUGGUAUUAUAGGACAGCAUUGUUUUAUAAUUAAACAUUUAUGGCUACAAGAUGAGUAUGCGUUCUAUUAGUUAGUAGGUAAGGUAACGGCUUACCUAGACUUCGAUAGAUAGGGGUCCUGAGAGGGAGAUCCCCCACACUGGUACUGAGACACGGACCAGACUCCUACGGGAGGCAGCAGUGAGGAAUAUUGGACAAUGGGCGAGAGCCUGAUCCAGCCAUGCCGCGUGCAGGAAGACGGCCCUAUGGGUUGUAAACUGCUUUUAUAGAGGAAGAAACACUCCUACGUGUAGGAGCUUGACGGUACUCUACGAAUAAGGAUCGGCUAACUCCGUGCCAGCAGCCGCGGUAAUACGGAGGAUCCAAGCGUUAUCCGGAAUCAUUGGGUUUAAAGGGUCCGUAGGCGGGACAAUCAGUCAGCGGUGAAAGUCUGUGGCUCAACCAUAGAAUUGCCAUUGAUACUGUUGUUCUUGAAUACUUAUGAAGUGGUUGGAAUAUGUAGUGUAGCGGUGAAAUGCAUAGAUAUUACAUAGAACACCGAUUGCGAAGGCAGAUCACUAAUAAGUCAUUGACGCUGAUGGACGAAAGCGUAGGUAGCGAACAGGAUUAGAUACCCUGGUAGUCUACGCCGUAAACGAUGGUUACUAGCUGUUCGGUCGCAAGACUGAGUGGCUAAGCGAAAGUGAUAAGUAACCCAC